CAGAGAAGAAUAAUGAAGAGAGGAACAGAGAAGAGAAACAAUGGGGUCCUCUGUAGAGAUGAGCAUUGCAAGAUUAUGUCCUCCCUCUUCUUCUCCUUCAGAUAGUGCUUCAUCAGUCACAUAAUCUGUUAACCAGGUAUGUGAGCAUAAGCCACACAUCCAAACACACUGAAACACUCAACACUAGGCUUCCUGUUACUCCAAGCUUCUUCAGGAGUAGUAUUGGGAACAGCUGUGGUGGGGCUUCUAUUUAUCACAUAGAUGGACCAAUUUACAGCCUCUGCCCAGAAUUGCUUUGGUAAUUCCUUCCCUGACAACAUGCUGCGCACCAUAUUCAUUAUGGUGCGAUUCUUUCUCUCUGCAACCCCAUUCUGCUGUGGGGUGUAUGCUGUGGUAAGUUGUCUCUUGAUUCCAUGUGUGCUGCAAAAAUCAUUAAAUUCACUUGAGGUGAACUCUCCCCCUCUGUCAGUUCUUAAACAACUGAUUCUUUCACCACUUUCUUUUUCCACACUCACUUUAUAUUUCUUGAAUAUAGACAGUGCUUCAGAUUUGUGUAAUAGAAAAUAUGCUCAAGUUUUUCUACUAUAAUCAUCUAUAAAAGUGAUUAUGUACCUUUUCCCACUGUUUGAUUGUGGUGAAAUGGGUCCACAAAUAUCUGCAUGGACAAGUUGUAGUUUCUUGGAUGCUCUCCACAGACUUUUCUUUGGCAAUGUCUCUCUAUGCUGCUUUCCUUUCAUGCAAUCUUGACAGACUUUUAAUGAGUCAUUCAGUGCAGGUAAACCCUUGACCAUCUCCAUUGAAACCAAGGUUUUCAGCCCCUUUAGGCUUAGAUGCCCAUAUCGACAGUGCCAUAGAUUGGUGACAUCUUCAGAUGUUGCUUGUAGACAACUAGCCAUUGGAGUUAUCACAGUAGCAACUGGCCUAUGCUCAGGAGGUUGUUCUUCAAUUCAGUUUCAUGGAAUCCCAGAUGGCCUUUGAAGUCUCCUUAUUGAGUAUAGUUUCAAUGAUGGUUCUGUCAAUGGCUUGAAAUAGGUAGUUCUUGACCUUUAAAUCCUUCAAUUUUUCUUCUUCAAUUACUUUCUGUUGUGCUGCUGAUUGUGCUCCUUCUCCUCUUGCUGCACCAAUCCCUUUUUCUAUUAGACUCCAGUAUUCUUUGGACUUAAGAAAGUUCUCCAUAAGCAUAGACCAAUGGUCAUAAUGACCAUCAAAUCUUGGUAUUGCUGCCUGCACAAAAUUGUUUGAUUCUGUUGUCAUUGAUUGAUCUUUUCUGCUUUGCUUUUCUUUUUCAAGAAAACUCAGUUUCUUGAUGUUCUUUAUUUGAUUUUAGUGAUAUGGCUCUGAUACCAUAUGUUGUGAAGAGACAGAGAAUAUGGUUGAAGUAAUAAGAAGAUUUGCAGAGAAGAAUAAUGAAGAGAGGAACAGAGAAGAGAAACAAUGGGUAAGUGAAUGAUUUCUAAUUCAUGACUUUAUUUGCUUGUAAUCGUUGCUAUUUAUACAUGAGCUUAGCUGGGUAUUAUCUAUACAAGAUUCCCGUUGGUUAUAACCAACUGUAACAGAAUACAAUCUUCAACUGCUAUCUCACAGC